rnacentral:rRNA from 1 species
UACGGAGGAUGCAAGCGUUAUCCGGAUUUAUUGGGUUUAAAGGGUGCGCAGGUUGUUUGAUAAGUCAGUGGUGAAAGUCUGUCGCUUAACGGUAGGAUUGCCAUUGAUACUGUUAGACUUGAAUAUGGAUGAGGUAGGCGGAAUGUGUAGUGUAGCGGUAAAAUGCAUAGAUAUUACACAGAACACCGAUUGCGAAGGCAGCUUACUAAUCCAUCAUUGACGCUGAGGCACGAAAGCGUGGGGAGUCAAACAGGA